CAGACUGCUCUUGCUCGUCCCAGGACGGACAUCAGAGACGUCCACCAGCGGGCCGGUGGCCUGCGACAGAGACUGAUAGUGGACAGAGUGCGUGACGGUGGCCGACUUCUGUUUGGCAGUUUCUCCGAAAUCGUUAUCGAUAUAUGUUUAGGUUUGAAUAUGGUUCAGUGCAGGCGACUCACCCACUGUUUCCAUGGUGUCUCUCUCUUCGAUGAGCAGCUGCGCUCGGGGAAUGUCGAUGUGCAUGCGGAGGGUCUGCUGUUGUUUGUUAAUGGUAUCUGAAGGCCUUGUGUUCUUACUGGAGGAGAACACAAACAAGAUGGGGAAAACCUCUCGGCUUGUACAAGGUCAACAUGACACGUGAGCCAUCAAAGAAGCUUUCGUCUAAAUGGUUCCAUAAAGAACCUUUAACAUCUGAAUAACCUUUCGGUUUCACAAAAGGUUCUUCGAGGUGAAAGAAGGUUCUUCAGAUUAUAAAAAAGGUUUUGAUAAAGAAUGGUUUCUUUUCUCUGUGGAACACGGAAUAAGAAUUUAGAAGAACUUCCCAGCUGCAGUUUCUAUGUGAUGUAAGAAUAAAGGGCUGUCAAACUCAAAGGACAAGAGAGUCAUCAUCAAAGCAUCCUAAAUCCUUAAAAUCUUCUGGAGCACCAGCCUUUUGCGCUUUAUUCAUCACAUAAAUCGAAUUAUUAUAGAUUCAUUUCUCUAUAAUGUUCUUUAGAACUGUCUGUUAUAGUGAAUCUGUUCAAACACUGGUUCUAUUAUAUGUCUCAGUAGAUCUGCAAUAUAGUGAAGCGUAUGAAUCACUUGAUGAUUUGAUUCAUUUGUGCAUAAGAUUCUUUAAAAUUGUCUAUUAGAAUGUAUUUAUUCACUUAUAUUGUUAGAAUACCUGGAAUAAAGUACAUCAUUAUGAACUACUUAGGGAUUUUUAAUAAAAAUGCUUUAAUAGAAACACUGAUUACACUGUAAGGCUUUAUACAAUUUAUAAAUCGUAUGAAUGACUCGACGACUUUUUAAAAAAAAAGGCUGAUGGCACACUUGAUGAAUGGCAUACGAGUCAUGAAUGACUUUAUGAACACAAAAUGCUGAUAGAGUUUGAUUCAUUUGUGCAUGAUAUGCUUUGUAAACAUCCAUUAAAAUGAAUCUGUUAAUGAA